GAAGAGUAGUCAAAAUGGCGAAUCGGUUUGUUUUGUUUUCCAAAAUUAAGAUUAAUUAUUAGUCCGUUAAAUUGAAUUUACUUUUUAAUUACGUUUUCUAAAUUAAUUAAGUUUCUAUCAAUUAAAUAAACAACACUUGUGAUACUAAUUAGCUGGAAAUGUAACUCCAAAGAAAAGUAAAUCAACUGAUCAUCUAAUGUGAAUGUACCUGAUUGUGCACCUUGAUUAGUGUUGAUUGAUUUUAAAUACUUGAUCUUAUUUCAAUCUUAUUAUUUUAUUGGUAAUUGUGGUUCCUUUCAUUGGUCUCACUUUCUCUCCUUCCAAUUGGAUCUCUCUCAUUCUCUCUCUCUCUCCUGUGUGUUCAAAUUAUUACUACUGCUUAGAGAUUCCAAUUGGAUAUAAAUUGUGACGAUCUCAUCUCAUCUCCUCUCAAUUUUGUUUUUCUGGGCGAUUUUAAUCAUGGUUCGCUUUUCUUUUCUUUACUAAUAACCGAAAGAGAGAAAAAAAGAAGCUUGAUCAUCAGAAGCCCAUGAAAAAGCAUCAUCAUCAUCUUAUCUUCUUUCACCAAAUAAGAGUUUCAACAUGAUUAGAAUUUAGUGAAAACCUUGAAAGAAUCAAGUUUCGUUGGUGAAAAUACUCAUACACACUUUUUUGUUUUGCAUGUUAUAUGUUCAUGUUGUUGUAAUUUCGCUGUUGUUAAAUCAACAAAAACGCAAACAACGAAUUCAAAUACACCUUAACAUGGAGAAAGAGUGAGAAAUUUCAUCGUAACUAUUCAUUGUUUAUGCUAAACAAUGGGGAUAACAAGCAGAUCUUGAGAUUGUUAAUAUUACAAAUCAACCUGAUACUUUUUUUUACCUGUUGAUUAUUAUAAUACAUUCAAAAACAACUAUUGAUUGUUUUGAGUGAGAGAAAAAAAAGAAAACAAUUAAUAAUAACAACAGCAACAAAUAAGCUACACUUUAUAUUUACCAUAAUAUAGUUAAUUUGGAUUGAGAAAAAUUAACAAAUCGCUCAACAUGAUGAUGAAAGAAAUUUAAUCUUUAAUAUGUCAAUCAGAAUUGAUGAUGAAUGAUUUAUACCAUAGAAUAACAAUUUCCAACAAUUGUCAAUCAUACAUUUCCUCAAUUCCCCCAAAACUACAAACGAAAAAAAAAAGAGUUAAACAAUCAACUGAUUGUAACUCAUAUUGAAUUAACUUAAUUGUUCCAAUAUUAUAAGCAUUUUCUUCAAGGUAUUUGUCCAGGUAAAAGUAAAUAUUGUUUUCACAUUGAAUCGAUAUUCUCAAUGGUUACAACAAUUUAGAUUAAUCAAAUAUCCUUUUCAUCCACAUGUAAAGAGUAAAAGUAAAUGAAUAUGAUUAAGAACUUGAUUGUUGAUAUUAUUAACAGAAUUGUAAUCAACAAUCAACCCGAAAAGAAAAGCCUUUCGUUGGGAAGGUCAAACCGACGGUUUCAUAUAACAUUACGUGAAUUUAUCCAAUAAUUUAAAAGGAAACAAUUUAGUUUCAAUAAUAUUAUUAAUAGAUUGAUAAUAUAAUCAUAUUAUUAAAUUAUAGUGAUGGAAGGUUUUUGAUUUAGAUGAAGAAGAUUAAAUUGCGAAAAGGCGUUUUCCCUUCCUUCUUUUAACAAUUCUAUUCUCAUUUGAUGUCUGAAUCUUAUUUCUUUUUCCACCAGAAUAAUAUUCAACUUCUAGUCUUAUAAAUAUUACGAAUCCAUAGUAACAAAGGAGUUAAUCAUAAUACGAUAAUAAUGAUAAUCAUUAAAUCGUUGAUGAUAAAGAUAUUGACUGUUCAAGAUUAUUACCAAUGGAGAGAGAGUUUCAGAUUAAAUCAUGAUGAUAACAGGUUCAAUUGAGCCUUGGAACAAUUAAGAUUGUGAUUAUAAUAAUGAAAGCCAUUCCAUAGGGAUCAUUGGUCGGUGGUUGUGGUUGUUACACCUUCCUCCUUGAUAUUGACCUUUUUUUGGGCUGUUGGUUUGAUGAUUAACUUUAAAAGUCAAUUUAGAUUAAGGCAAGCUCUGUUAAUCAGCUAAUUGGUUGAUGGUAAUUAUGAUUAGUGAGUGACACUUGAAUGACAAUAUUUAAGAGUCACUUUCUUGAUGCUGUUUCCCUUUUUUUUUUUAGUUGAUUUUGUUUGUUUGCUUGUUUGGGUUAAUAUUUGUUGAUGGUUUUUUUUAAUCUUUCCUUGAUCCCGUUAAUCUAAUCUUGUUAAAUCCGUUGACAUUUUUGUUUU